AGAGUUUGAUCCUGGCUCAGGAUGAACGCUGGCGGCGUGCUUAACACAUGCAAGUCGAACGAUCCUUCGGGAUAGUGGUGGACGGGUGAGUAACGCGUGGGAAUCUGCCCUUAGGAGGGGGAUAACGGCUGGAAACGGCCGCUAAUACCCCAUAUGCCGAGAGGUGAAACGAAUUUCGCCUGAGGAUGAGCCCGCGUCUGAUUAGCUAGUUGGUGGGGUAAAGGCCUACCAAGGCGACGAUCAGUAGCUGGUCUGAGAGGAUGAUCAGCCACACUGGGACUGAGACACGGCCCAGACUCCUACGGGAGGCAGCAGUGGGGAAUUUUCCGCAAUGGGCGAAAGCCUGAUGGAGCGACGCCGCGUGAGGGAUGAAGGCCUCUGGGCUGUAAACCUCUUUUCUCAAGGAAGAAGAACUGACGGUACUUGAGGAAUAAGCCACGGCUAAUUCCGUGCCAGCAGCCGCGGUAAUACGGGAGUGGCAAGCGUUAUCCGGAAUUAUUGGGCGUAAAGCGUCCGCAGGCGGCCUUGUAAGUCUGUUGUUAAAGCGUGGAGCUCAACUCCAUUUAAGCAAUGGAAACUACAAGGCUGGAGUGUGGUAGGGGCAGAGGGAAUUCCCGGUGUAGCGGUGAAAUGCGUAGAUAUCGGGAAGAACACCAGUGGCGAAGGCGCUCUGCUGGGCCAUAACUGACGCUCAUGGACGAAAGCCAGGGGAGCGAAAGGGAUUAGAUACCCCUGUAGUCCUGGCCGUAAACGAUGAACACUAGGUGUCGGGGGAAUCGACCCCCUCGGUGUCGUAGCCAACGCGUUAAGUGUUCCGCCUGGGGAGUACGCACGCAAGUGUGAAACUCAAAGGAAUUGACGGGGGCCCGCACAAGCGGUGGGGUAUGUGGUUUAAUUCGAUGCAACGCGAAGAACCUUACCAGGGUUUGACAUCCUGCGAAUCCCUUGGAAACGAGGGAGUGCCUUCGGGAGCGCAGUGACAGGUGGUGCAUGGCUGUCGUCAGCUCGUGUCGUGAGAUGUUGGGUUAAGUCCCGCAACGAGCGCAACCCACGUCUUUAGUUGCCAGCAUUCAGUUGGGCACUCUAGAGAUACCGCCGGUGAUAAACCGGAGGAAGGUGUGGAUGACGUCAAGUCAUCAUGCCCCUUACAUCCUGGGCUACACACGUACUACAAUGCUACGGACAAAGGGCAGCAAGCUCGCGAGAGUUAGCAAAUCCCAUAAACCGUGGCUCAGUUCAGAUCGUAGGCUGCAACUCGCCUACGUGAAGGAGGAAUCGCUAGUAAUCGCAGGUCAGCAUACUGCGGUGAAUACGUUCCCGGGCCUUGUACACACCGCCCGUCACACCAUGGAAGUUGGCCAUGCCCGAAGUCGUUACUCCAACCCUUGUGGAGGAGGACGCCGAAGGUGGGGCUGAUGACUGGGGUGAAGUCGAAACAAGGUA
rnacentral:rRNA from 1 species